GCCGGGCAUGGUGGCUCAUGCCUGUAAUCCCAGCACUUCCGGAGGCUGAGGUGGGUGGAUCACCUGAGGUCAGGAGUUCAAGACCAGCCUGGCCAACAUGGUGAAACCCCAUCUCUA
rfam:Homo sapiens chromosome 1, GRCh38 reference primary assembly.